AACUCUCAACCCCCCUGUUUUGUAAUGAGACAGGCGUCUGGGCUUGGAUUAUGGCUGCCUGUCGGUUCUAAUCGGACCGGCUCAGCUGAAAUACACGAGCUGCCCACUUUGAAAAUCGACGGUUUGACUCGGCGUAAUAAUACGUUUCGCUGAGGACGUCACCUUUCAAUACAGAGGCGCUUAUAGUGCAACUUUCAUUUGACCU
rnacentral:misc_RNA from 1 species